UAAUGGCAUUUAUUUAUGUUGUACUGCUGUAACAAGUGCUCGUGGUGGAAAACAAACUAAAAAUAGUGUGAGUGUAAUGCAACGUAUACGUAACGGUCGUAUGAAAGUAUAAAUUGUCAAAAUUAAAAUGUCAACAAUAUAAAAACAACUUUCUUGGUUCUUUCCGUACAAGUUAGAAUUAUUAGAAUCCUUUAAAAACGGUUGUAUGUUCUAGAAUAUAAUUAGGUAAAAGUAUCAGAAUGAUUCGACGAAAUAAACGCCAUCACUACAUGCUGAAUGAAAAUGAAGGUCGUAAAUAUGUGCGCAAGUUUUGUUUUAGUCUGCUACUCGACGGCCGAAUUCUGAGCAAUCCAGCGGCGAUACUCCUAGAAUACGUAAAAGUACAUUUCCAAGAACGGAAGUUGAGAAUGUUUCUAGUGAAUCGGAGUUUGAAGGAUGUGAUGACGUUAAUGCUUGUCCGGAAAACCUGGCAUUCCUGAAUCGGUACCUUUUCGCUGAAAGUCAAAACGAAAGAAUUUCGUUCAUGAACAUAGACGAUAUAAAGGAAAAUGACUUUACCGUUAAUGAAUUGAAUCCGGUAGAUCGGUCGUUCCUAGCGAAUUCGAUAAAUUCUCUAUCUGAUUAUCAAUUAAGUGGAAGUUCAUAUCUGUUGAGUAAUGAUUCUUCUUCACAUGAAUCGUACGAUUCUAAUGAAUCCAAUCAGCAAGAGGAUGCUUUUGGAGAGCACAAUAAACCAAUGCAAUUCAACGCUGAAAUUACAGUACGUGACGUUCUGUUCAUGGUACUCAAUUUUUAUAUAAGAUAUAAGCUGACUCAAGAGGCUGUUGUACAAUUACUAAAGAUGUUGAACCUGAUAACUGGCGUGAAGAACCUUCCCGAGAGCUUCGAAGCUUUUGCUGGUGUAUUUCCUGAUCCGUAUGACUCUCAUCGAGUGUACUUUUGUGCCGAAUGCCAGUGUGAAUACGGUUGUACCCCACCAAACGAACAAACUGUAUGCUCAGUCCAGGGUUGUAACUCCACAAAGUUCGACUUUUUUAUUGUUCUUCCUCUUAAAGAACAGUUGAAAGAAGCAGUUACGAAGUUCAGGAAAGAAAUCAACGAUUAUGAAGAAUUGAUCGAAGCAGAAAACAUUGCCGAUAUUAAUCGAGGUGCAAUGUUCAACAAAAUUAAAAGGAAUGAGCAAGGAAAAUACAUCACUCUUUCUGUGAACACGGACGGCGCAGCAGCAUAUCGUUGGACACUAAAUAAGCCCUGCUACCCUAUUUUUGUUACAGUAAACAAUCUGCCACCUCGUUUACGUUUCAACAAACAUAACGUAAUGCUCAGUGCGAUAUGGCUGAGCAAAGGGGACCCUAAUAUGUGUUUAUUCUUCAAGUACUUUAGCAAGGAGAUGAAAAAUCUGAGAAAUGGUUUAGAAAUUGGUGACGAGAUAUAUAAAGUAGUUGUCCUGCAGAACUGUUUAGAUACAGUGGCCAGAUGCAAAGUGCAAGGAACAACACAAUUCAAUGGUAGAUAUGGCUGUUCAGUGUGUCUCCACAGCGGAAUGAUUGUAAAUGGGAAUCAAAUUCGGUAUCCCUCCAUCGCCGCAGAGCAGCGAGAUCAUGAUACAACCCGGAAUCUAAUGCUAGAGGUGCACAAAACCAAAAUUCCGAAACUUGGUAUUAAAGCAUUGUCAGUAUUUCUAGCUGUGCCAGAUUUUGAUAUAGUGUUAGGGUUUCCUCCAGACUAUAUGCAUAAUGUCCUUUUAGGCGUGGUGAAGCUUAUGUGGGAAUUAUUCACAUCGACAUCAAACCACAAUAAACCAUUUUAUGUGGGAUUGCAACUUGGAGAGGUCGAGCAACGUUUGUCCGAAAUUCGUCCUCCAAGUGCAUUCUCACGGUAUCCUGGAAAAUUAGACGAUAUGAAAAAGAACAAAGCUGCAGACUGGGAGUGCAUACUGUUCCAUUAUUUUUACCCCUGUUUUGUGAAUAUUCUCCCAAAAUCAUUCCUAGAUCAUUUUAUGUUGCUAUCCUUGAAUGCUAUUUUUGAAUUAUUAGAUGUGCAUCUAACUCUAGACCAAAUCGAUACUUGUGAGAAAUCCAUCAACAGUUUUGUAAAGAAAUUCUCUGAAUUCUACGGUGUGGAAAAUAUGGUAUUCAAUAUUCAUUUGUUGACCCAUUUAUCAGAAAGUGCCAGACACUUUGGUGCUUUGUGGAAUUCUUCAUUAUUUCCAUAUGAAAAUGCGAAUGGGGUAAUCUUACAAUAUAGGACUGGAAACAACCAUCCUGUUAUUCAGAUUAGCUCAAAAUAUGUUCUCAACAGAACAUGUCAUUUCAGAAUAUCGACUCAUUCUGAAAUAAUGCAGUGGCAUUCUAGGAUUUGGAAUUCAAAAACAUCAACUGAAUUGCAGUAUGAUCACCGGUUGCUUUAUAUCGUUCCAGAGCAUGUUUCAAUUGACGCCGAUGUACUUGAGAGAGAUUUUAGUUAUCACGAUCGCCUAUUUAUUAGAAAUAUCCAAUACAGAACAUACAAAGCAUGCGAAAAACUUGGCUAUGAUGAUUCAUAUGUCAAUAUAAAUCAGGAGUUCUUUCGAAUCGAGCACAUUCUUAUCGCGAAAAAUAAUGCGCCUUUUAUCGUUGCAACGAAGCUUAGUACAACACAGCUUUUCAAAAAUAUGUUUGUAUAUUCAGUGACCGACCACGUCGUAUUAAAAAAAGCAAAUCAUAAUUUCAGACAAUGUGUAAAUGUAUCUAUAAAUAGUAAUGGCAAAGUCAUGACAUUUAUUUCUAUUUGCAAAUAUAAUAGUCAGGUAGAUUAAAAGAAUAAUGGUUAUACUUUCGUAAACAAAAUGUUACUGAUUUUCUCCUUAACCCGAAUUAAACAAGACUACUAGAUAAAUAGUUUUUAAGUUAUAAGCAUUUUGAUUUAGAGUAAUAAAAUAUGUAGAGUUGUAGUGAAAUUAACAACUGUCAUUAAUGUAUAGCAAAAAGAAAACAACAUUAGUUAUCAUACUUUACCCUUCAUAAACUGAUAUCAAAUUUUGAUCUCAAUUUGAUGUCGAUAUCAUAAUAUGAUUUCAAUUUGCUAUCAUCUUGUUGUUGGACUUUGCUCGGGAAGUGCGCUUCAGUGUGAAAAUUCGGAUCAGUAAAGUUUCAGCAACUGGGAUAUCUGGUGUGGCAGACAGAGGAAGAUUCGAAUGAGGGGCUUGUGAAGUGAAAUCUCUUAGUGGUGGAAAAAAGGCGUAAGUGUCCGGGGAGCAGUCGAAGUUAGUCAAGAAAGAGUUGUGGCACCCAUCAGAUACCUACGCAAAUGGGGUUCCUGCAGUUUGUGCAAUCAAAAUAAAUUUGUGUUUAUUGCAAAGCGACAGAAGGGUGUUUCGUUGUGCAGAAAAAUCGCCCCGAAUCAAGGAGGGGCAAAGGCAAUAAAAUAUAAGUGUAAUCACUAUUGCAAUCUGGUCGGAGUGAAGAAAAGUAAAAGGAAGAACAACGACCCGGGAGGAAGCAGUAGCGAAUUUCUCAAAGGUGUGUGUCACUCGAAGAAGUAGUGAAAUUUCUGGAUAUAGUGGAUACUAACCUACUGGGGGACUACGGAAAGAAGGGAGACGCGAUAGAGGCAGACCUCUCUGGCUGAUAUCAUUCUUCAAGGCGGACGACAUCAUCGGGCCUCGGUGUCGUGUGAUUCUUUGUCAUCAUCAAAAAGUCAAUCAUCGACGCGCGGCCGAGAGCGAGAACAACACUGAAGUUGCGAAAAUGCGGCUUCCCCAACGGGUGAACUAGACACAGUGCGGACUAGUCGCAUGCACUCGGUGUCUGUGCUCUUCUCACUCACCUGCACGGCCGCGUUGUCAUCGUCGUCGUUGUCGUGAUUGGAGCUAACAGCUUGACGUUGUGCCGGGGGCAUCGGACAGAGAGAACGAGAGACACAGCAGCAGCCAGAGCGAAAGCCACCCCCU